AUAGCCUUUAGCAACAUACAAGUAUUAAAGGUAACGCCUGCCCAGUGAAAGUUAAACGGCCGCGGUAUUCUAACCGUGCAAAGGUAGCGUAAUCACUUGUCUUCUAAAUAAGGACCAGUAUGAACGGCUAAAUGAGGAUGGCCCUGUCUCCUUUGACUAAUCAGUGAAACUGAUCUUCCAGUACAAAAGCUGGAAUAACUACAUAAGACGAGAAGACCCUGUGGAGCUUCAAACUUUAACCAAGAAAACCCUCAACAAAACAUCUAUGGCAAACAGUUUUAAGUUGGGGCGACUUUGGAAAAAAACGAAACUUCCAAGCACAAAGAUUUUUACCUUAAUCCAGGUUUACCAACCAAAAUAAAUAUUGACCCAGUACUACUGAUCAACGAACCAAGUUACCCCAGGGAUAACAGCGCUAUCUUCUUCAAGAGUCCCUAUCGACAAGAAGGUUUACGACCUCGAUGUUGGAUCAGGACACCCAAAUGGUGCAGCCGCUAUUAAUGGUUCGUUUGUUCAACGAUUAACAGUCCUACGU
rnacentral:rRNA from 1 species